AGAGUUUGAUCAUGGCUCAGAACGAACGCUGGCGGCAUGCCUAACACAUGCAAGUCGAACGAGACCUUCGGGUCUAGUGGCGCACGGGUGCGUAACGCGUGGGAAUCUACCCUUUGGUUCGGAAUAACUCAGGGAAACUUGAGCUAAUACCGGAUGAUGACUUCGGUCCAAAGAUUUAUCGCCAAAGGAUGAGCCCGCGUAAGAUUAGCUAGUUGGUAGGGUAAAGGCCUACCAAGGCUACGAUCUUUAGCUGGUCUGAGAGGAUGAUCAGCCACACUGGGACUGAGACACGGCCCAGACUCCUACGGGAGGCAGCAGUGGGGAAUAUUGGACAAUGGGCGAAAGCCUGAUCCAGCAAUGCCGCGUGAGUGAUGAAGGCCUUAGGGUUGUAAAGCUCUUUUACCCGGGAUGAUAAUGACAGUACCGGGAGAAUAAGCUCCGGCUAACUCCGUGCCAGCAGCCGCGGUAAUACGGAGGGAGCUAGCGUUGUUCGGAAUUACUGGGCGUAAAGCGCACGUAGGCGGCUUUGUAAGUUAGAGGUGAAAGCCCGGGGCUCAACUCCGGAAUUGCCUUUAAGACUGCAUCGCUUGAAUCCAGGAGAGGUGAGUGGAAUUCCGAGUGUAGAGGUGAAAUUCGUAGAUAUUCGGAAGAACACCAGUGGCGAAGGCGGCUCACUGGACUGGUAUUGACGCUGAGGUGCGAUAGCGUGGGGAGCAAACAGGAUUAGAUACCCUAGUAGUCC
rnacentral:rRNA from 1 species